AGCCUGUUUCAGAUUCUGUGUCUCCCUCUCUCUCUGACCCUCCCCCGUUCAUGCUCUGUCUCUCUCUGUCUCAAAAAUAAAUAAACGUUAAAAAAGAAAACAGAAAAAAAAAAAGAAAUGCCACUUCUGGAUAACAUAUGAAGUCUGUUUCUAGAUUAUUUUCUCCACUGGUUCAUUUGUCUAGCCAUAUUUUAAAAACAAAUGCUUCUAAGGAUGCCUGGGUGGCUCAGUCGGUUAAGCGUCCGACUCUUGGUUUCUAUUCAGGUCAUGAUCUUAUGGUUUCGUGAGUUCGAGUCCUGCGUCGGGCUCUGCACCGACAGUGUGGAGUCUGCUUGGGAUUCUCUCUCUCUCCCUCUCUCUGCGCCCCUCUCCCACUGGUACUGUCUCUGUCUCUCAAAAUAAAUAAAUAAAAACUUUUAAAAAAUGUUUCGUUAAAACCAAUAAUACUCUGUUUUUAAGGUUCCAUUUGUAUGUUGAAUACUGCCCACACAUGACAGCAGGUUGGGAAAUUACACUCUUGUGCCACAAUCAAUUAGCUCUCAUUUCUCAGUCUCGUUCAUCUGGGUUGUAGAGAGGAGCAGGGACAUCAUCUUUUGGUGAGGCUCUGAGUUGCUUGUGAGGUCACAGGACCACAGGACCAGGGCCGUUUUCCCUCACCACCGACAGUGAUCCCAGGAGGCAUCCGGACGCUCGGAGGUGGCCCUUCUAGGCAAUCAGUCAGCGACUGUUUGGUUGAUAAGCAGUUUACUUUUAUCUGCCAAAUGAGAUUUUUUUCUUCCUUAAAACCUAAAGGGUGGCAACGCCAGUCUUAAGGAAUUUUGUCGUCCCGUUACCUGUUCACUUCCUUUUCUUUCAGAAACCCUCAGCAUUUUCUUAGUCCUGAAACUUAAGCUUGCAAGCUCCUGGACCAUUGAGAAGUAUUCCCCUUCUCCAGAAUUGUCGUGGGAAUCAUUGCCGCGAGGCUGGCCCUCCUGUCUCCGCUGCUGGCCUUGGAGAAGGAGACUGCCGUGAAUCCUACGGCCGCAGGAGCACCCCCAACCAAGCCUCUGACGGGAACCCAACCCCGGUGGGCACCCCUGUUACCGCCUCUCUGACCUCAGACAAGGACCCAGCUCAGAACGCCUGGACUUCUGGCCCAGAGACACUGGGAGGAAAGAGAUCGUGUAACUGAAACACAGACCAAGGAAAUGAACAGAGAAGAGGAAAACCAAGAUGUUCAACAAUAUCUGGAAAGAAAGGCAGCCUUACCAAUAACCGACGAAACACAAGUUAAAUUAAAAUUUAAUUUAAAUUUAAGUUUAAAUUAAAGAUUAACCGGAUUAAUUGAUUGAAGCUAGUGACGGAGCCCUCUGUUCUGAGGAUACGUGGACGCGGACACGCAUGCACACAGUUCACAGGCUGGGUCACUAUUUGUGUAGAAAUGUAAAUACGACCCUUGGACCCAGCGGGCUAGAUUGUAGAAAUCGAUCUCAUAGAAGUACCCAGGCGGGAAGCGUCAACGUACGUGAAGGGAAGUUAUUCGAAGCAUUGUUUAUAAUUGUCCAAAAUGUGAACCACGUUCCUAUCUUUAACUCAAUAGUAAAUUGGUUAAAUAAAGUACGGUACUUCCAUAUAUUGGGACAUUGAGCAGAUUUAAAAAACAGUGAACCAGAACUGUACGUGCUAUAAACACUUAAAAAUGUAGAAGGGUAGCAGUUCAAAUGAAAUUUGAAUAUUAGACAAUAAAGGGUAAAGAGCUCUAUUUAAGCUUCUACUAUAUAUAUUGGCAAUCAUAUAUGCUUAUAUCCAUACAUAUCUAUGUCAAUAUAUAAAAAAUGCUUUUGUAUAUUCAUAGAAGAUUUAUAAAAGGAUACACAAGAAAUUGAUAAGACUUCCUAGAAAGAACAGUGGAAUGGGGGAAUUGGAGGGAGAUGAUUUCUUACUAAAGUGAUACAGUUGUGUUUCUAAAGAAUGUCAAACGGCCCUACAGAUUCAUAAUGAAAACCAGGCUUAUGUGUGUGUUAAAGGUCUCCAGUUAAAGAUAAUUUAAAAAGGAGAAACCACUGCUGAAGAAACAGAACGAAAGAGAAGAAAGCAUGGAUUAGCCAACUCAAGGAGCCACAUAAGCACAGACAUACUUACCUUCCUCGUUUGUGAUUCUUAUGAACACAGUACCGUAGACCUUUCAUGAUAUUUCCAAAGUAAUAGACCAUCUGUGCUGACUUAGGGGACAGCAGGCCAGGUUCUGGGGGACUGCCCAGCAUGCAGCCUUUGUCAGUAUUUUAGGUAUCUGUCUUUCACGUUAACAAGCAGCGGUGUUUUCUUCGUGGAAUUAAACUCCGCGAAAAUCUCUUUGCAAGCAGAUUUGUGUCUUGAUGACAAUCUGUGGAUGACUUGGGCUGAGGCACGCCGAUGGAGUGUGUGGAUCUCCGGGGAAACUUCCAGCAGAUACGCAUCAGUGCAGCCACAUUCUUCCAGCCUUUACAGCCGUCAGGGCGGUGUCUGACCGUCCUGACAGCCGCCUGCCUCCAGCUGAAGGCGCACGGCGCCUGCGUGUGCCUUUCGCAGCAGUUCAUGGGUUACAGUCACGCUCCCGCCUGCCUCAGUUUCUCUGGUGGGUUCCUGAAGACACAGGAACUUUACCUCUUCUUGUAAAAAUUUUUUUAAUAGUUUUUUUAAGUUUAUUUAUUUUGAAAAGAGAGUGCAAGCAGGGUAGAGGCUGAGAGAGAGAGAAGAGAGAGAAUCCUAAGCAGGCUCUGAGCUGUCUGCCCAGAGACCUGAGCUCAAGGCAGAUGCUUUACCGACUGAGCCACCCAGGCGCCCCAGGAAGUUUGCUUCUGAGGGAUGCGGGGCUUAUUCGGUUCGCCCUCCUUUCUCCAAAGAUCCUUCCUGGCUUUGUCCAAGGGGGAUCAUAAUGGGCAGAAGAAGGAAGCAGUAUAACCUAUGGUAGAGAACACAGCAUUUGGAGUUAGAGCUCCAUCUAAAUCCCGGUGCUACUCUUUACAAGUACUGUGUAACCUGCACAUCUGUUUCUGUGUCAAAUGGGGCAACACUAUUUUAAUAGGAGAGUGUUUUCAUAAUAAUAGAACUAGUAGGAUGUGUAUAUGAAUACACACACACACACACACACACACACACACAAUGGGAUUAUUAUAAGGAAUUGGAUCACAUAAUUACGGAAGCUGACAAGUCCCAAGAUCUGCAGGAUGAGUUAGCAGCUAGAGACCCAGAAAAGCCAAUGGUUUGGAUCUAGUCCAAAGGCCUGCUGGCUCAAGACCUGGGAAGAGGUGAUGUUUCAGUUCAAAUGUGAAAACGACAAAGGGCUGAUGUCUCCAUUUAAACGCGGUCAGGUGGGAAGAACUCCCUCUUCCUUGGGAGUGGGUCAGAUUUUUUGUUCUAUUCAUGCCUUCUACUGAUUAGACAAGGCCCAUCCACACUGGGGAGGGAGAUCUACUUUACUCUGUCCUACUGAUUUAAAUGUUAAACUCAUCCAAAACACUCUCACAGCCACACCCAGAAUAAUGUUUGGCCACGUAUCUGGGCACACCGUGGUCCAGUCAAGUUAAUAUGUAAAAUGAGACAUCGUAGAGACUUUUGAGAAUCAGAAGUUAAUGUUUGGGAAGUGCUUUGGUACAGGGCCAUGGAAUAUGGGAUUUUGGAAGUUCUUAAAUGAUUAUUUAAAUUAGAAAACGUUUUAUUUAUUGAAUUAUUUGAUCCCCAUAACAACCCAAGGAGGGGGGAAGGGGAGAGGUAUUCACCUCCUUUUAGAGAGGAAGAAAUCAAGGCAUCAGUCAGUUGUACAGCUUGGUCAGGGCUUUCCAGAACCUACCAAUCCUUUACCUUCGGGGUGGGGUGGGGCAGAUGCGGAGGAGCGUGGGAGUGUGGGACGUGUACCAAGGCCAGUGAAGCUUUCGAGACUCUGGAGCCUUUGAGGGAUGGGGGACUGGAGUCACUGGGGUAGCCAGAGGACUCUUGAACGCCCCUUGCCUGUCUUUUUGUGAGUAAGUCUGAGAAUCGAUGACUGUUGUAAGUCCUCUUGUUACCAGAAGUGGCCACACUGCCGGGAUCCAGCAUCCGUGCGUGGCGAGCAGAUGGUAACGGAAAAGACACACGCACGGGGACUGUUUAAUUCCAUAUCUUGGAAUAUGUCAUAAUUCUCCCUGUGGGGGCUGCAGUGUAACUUUGCCCUGUCUUGUAAAUCAUAGACUCUGGAGAUUGAAAGGGACCUUAAAUUUAAGUUAAUCGGUACAACUGCCCAUGAUUCCAUAGUCAGAUAACAAUACCUGCGUUGUAGUGUCUAGAUACGUGUGGACCACUUUCAGAUACAUCCUUCCCGAUGACCCGGACACACAGCAUGACAGGAGAUGUAAAUGAUGUGCCCAAGGUCUUACAGUGUUUAGAGAAGAGCUGGGACAGAGGCUCCAAUGACUCUGUCUACACACACCCCCUGGAGAGGGGGAGGACCGGGUCCCACGCAGUAUAACAUACUGUAACACCUAUCUCCUUGGGUUGAAACUGUUUUCGCUCAUUUCUCAUCCACUGGCCGUCAGUUCUUUAUUUGAACUAUAUGUUUGUAUAACUCCUGUUGGUGACUCAUCAAACAGGACAAAAUUCCCCCUCCAGAAGACAGCUCUUCACACGUUAAAGACAACAUCCAUGUGUCCCGUGUGCCCUUGUUUGAACUCGUCUCUUCCAGGCUACAGUCCUCGUUCCAUGUGCCCCCACCGUCCAGUUGCUUUACUUGAGAUGCGCCCCAGUAAAGGUCUUUAUAAAGUGUGUCUCAACAACCGCCAUGGUGCCCUGGCAUGGUCUUGACCUUCAGAGUAGAAUGUGUUUGUCCCCGGACCUCCGAGCCCCAGAUCCUGGCAAACAAUUAGCAGCAGCAGCUAACACGGGUGGGGACGUUCAGCCCAUCUCCACCUGAAUUUUCUCAACCUCCGAGGCUUCACUGUUGGUUUGGCCCCCGGCUUGGCGGCUGUUGAACCCUAGACUUGUUCUCUUCUAUUUCGCUUCUCUCUUCCCUCUGCUUGGUAGGCGGCUUUGGGCGUCACCCUCAUCUCCUUGGAUUCCUGGGACCCUACAGAGAGGGCAGACACAAGGUGGAGGGACCUCGGCCAUCUUUAUUCUACAUACGGUCACCUUAUUAAUGUAUUCAUGGCCACAUGAAUUCUGUUGAAGGGCUAUUGAUACUGAGUUUAUACUCAGUUGAGAUUGAGUUCAGCUACGCCCACUUUGUUUACAUACUCAGUUUUGUAUUGUGUUAAUUUCUUGGAUCCAAGUACAGGACUCCACGCUUACUCCUGUCACACUUUCCUUGGUCAUGUCUACUCUUUGCCCUGUGACUUAAGGCAUUUUAAUCUUGUUAUCAUUAGAGCUUACCUUUCUUCUUCUCUUUUUAACGUUUAUUUCUUUAUUUUGAGUGUGUGUGUGUGUGUGUGUGUGUGUGUGUGUGUAAGUGGGUAAGGGACAAAGAGAAAGGGAGAGAGAGAAUCCCAAGCAGGCUCCAUGCUGCCAGCGCAGAGGACUCAGGACUUGACCCCACGAGCUGCGAGAUCACGACCUGAGGUGAAACCAAGGGUUGGACGCUUAACCGACUGAGCCACCCAGGCGCCCCACCUUUCUUCAAAGCUUCUAAUCACUCAUUAAGCUGAACUCAAUUUUAUUUUGUUUUUUUCAAUUUAAAAGGUUUUUUUUAAAUGUUUAUUUUUGAGAGAGAGGGAGAGAGAGAGACAGAGCAUGGGUGGGGGAGGGGCAGAGAGAGAGGAAGACACAGAAUCCAAAGCAGGCUCCAGGCUCUGAGCUGUCAGCACAGAAUGCAACAGGGGGCUCGAACUGGCGAACCACAAGAUCAUGACCUGAGCUGAAGUCAGACACUUAACUUGAGUGAGCCACCCAGGUGCCCCAAGCUGAACUCAAUUUUAAAAGCCGUCCCGUGGGUCCUUUCUCCUUUUUAAUUUCUGAGAGCUUGUCUUAUUUCUUCCUGUGUAUCCACAUGGUCAUAAGCAUCUCCCUUUACUUCUCCUACAAGUGCACACACACAUGCACGCGCACUUUCUUCACCUGGGGGUGUAAGAGGCAAUGCUGAGGGAGAACCACGAGUGACCAGCCCUGAAUUAUCCCCAGGAAAUUCAGCUGUUAUAUGAGGAUUGUGCAGCCUGCUGGGCACCCACCCAGACUCAUAGCCCUUCAAGAUGUGGACCCGUGGGAAAUCUUUGAGGAAGAAGAAAGAGCUGGGGAGCUCUGCCACAUGAAACCAACGUCCCGAAAUCAAGGAAGCCUGCUGCAUGCCAAUCCAUCGGGAAUAUGAUGGAAAGGAUGGCGAAGUGGAAAGUUUCCACUAAGUGGCAAGGACGCUGUGUGUGAGAUCGAGCGGAGCAAUUAUCUUCUGAGUUGCUGAGAGAUCCAAGCAAGGAGGCAAUGUAGGCACAGUCUCUGCGGGAAGCGCGUCUGGAACUUGGGAUGUGCACAGCGACUUCUGUCACAAAGGAUCCCCCAGAGGAGAAUGGGGCUCACUUGAGACCCAGGACAGAAUGUCUGCCGUCUCUAAUAGGAGAGGAGAGCAGAUUGAGUGAGCAUUUCCACAUCCACUUUUGAACGGAUUUACAUUCAAUGUCAAUGUUUUGACGAUUUCACAGAUGUAUUUUCUCUCGGUUAUUAUUCGCCAUUUCAAAUGCCUCCUGGAGGUCCCUGCUGCACGUCGAGGAAAACUGAGCACCCCCUCUGGGUCAUUCAAUCCAUGUAUAUGAAAUGUUUCUAAUAUAUAGUACGCAUUCAUAGUUUACAGCAUCCAGUGUAUAAGGAAGUGUGAUAUGUGACACGAAAUGCAUCCGAGAUUGGCAAACCACGAUCAUGGGCUAGCCACCUAUUGUGUCAAACAGAUUUGUUUUUAUUUGGACGUGGCCACAUGCAUUCAUUUACAGAUUGCCUAUGGCUCCUUUCGCUACAACGGCAGAAGUGAGUAGUGACAACACCGUCCCUGUGUCCCACAAGCCUAAACUUUUUACGAUCUCUCCCCUUAAGGUAAAAUUUGCCCAAUCUAGUAACAUACAAUAUAGUAUUUAAUAUAUAACAUACUACAUAAUAUAUAAUGUGACGUACCAACAUAGAAUAUACCAUACACACUAUAUGUAAAUAUAAUAUAUAAUAUAUGACAGCAUACAUGAUCAUAAUUUGUAAGCAGUCAUUAUAUUUGUCCAAAGUGUGGGGAUAAGGUAUUUGAUGGUUUGUA